rnacentral:rRNA from 1 species
UGCGUAGGCGGUUUACUAAGUCAGAUGUGAAAGCCCCGGGCUUAACCUGGGAACUGCAUUUGAUACUGGUAGGCUAGAGUAUGGUAGAGGGGGGUAGAAUUCCUAGUGUAGCGGUGAAAUGCGUAGAUAUUAGGAGGAAUACCAGUGGCGAAGGCGGCCCCCUGGACCAAUACUGACGCUGAGGUACGAAAGCGUGGGUAGCGAACAGGAUUAGAUACCCUGGUAGUCC